UUUGCCUUCGGGCUAAACUAUAUCCAUAACACCUGUGAACUGUUGAUUGACUUCGGUCAAUACUUUUACAAACAUUGUGUAAUGAACGUCAUGUUAUUAUAACAAAUAUAACUUUCAACAACGGAUCUCUUGGCUCUCGCAUCGAUGAAGAACGCAGCGAAAUGCGAUAAGUAAUGUGAAUUGCAGAAUUCAGUGAAUCAUCGAAUCUUUGAACGCACCUUGCGCUCUCUGGUAUUCCGGAGAGCAUGCCUGUUUGAGUGUCAUGAAAUCUCAACCAUUAGGGUUUCUUAAUGGCUUGGAUUUGGACGUUUGCCAGUCAAAUGGCUCGUCUUAAAAGAGUUAGUGAAUUUAACAUUUGUCUUCUGGCGUAAUAAGUUUCGCUGGGCUGACUGUGUGAAGUUUGCUUCGAACCGUCCGCAAGGACAAUUCUUGAACUCUGACCUCAAAUCAG
rnacentral:rRNA from 1 species